GACUGAAAACUGGCAGACCUUGUCCAAAUUUUCAAGAAGGAUAAGAAAGAAAACUGUGAUGGGACUGAGGAGGGAGAGAUCAUUAACAUGAGGAAAAGAAAGAAAAUGGAAAUGAUGUGGCAAUAAGCUUAUGCCUAAGUGAGUCCCAUGAAAAUAGCUGGAGGUUGUUCACAUGAUGGCUUAGGCAUGUUUCAUGUAGAGUGCUGAGUGUCUGCCAGGUCACUAUCAAAUUCAAAGGUACUGG
rnacentral:lncRNA from 1 species